GAUGAACGCUGGCGGCGCGCCUAACACAUGCAAGUCGAACGGCACCUGCCUUCGGGCAGAAGCGAGUGGCGAACGGCUGAGUAACACGUGGAGAACCUGCCCCCUCCCCCGGGAUAGCCGCCCGAAAGGACGGGUAAUACCGGAUACCCCGGGGUGCCGCAUGGCACCCCGGCUAAAGCCCCGACGGGAGGGGAUGGCUCCGCGGCCCAUCAGGUAGACGGCGGGGUGACGGCCCACCGUGCCGA
rnacentral:rRNA from 1 species